rnacentral:rRNA from 1 species
GCUUAACCGAAGAAGUGCAUCGGAAACUGGGUGACUUGAGUGCAGAAGAGGACAGUGGAACUCCAUGUGUAGCGGUGGAAUGCGUAGAUAUAUGGAAGAACACCAGUGGCGAAGGCGGCUGUCUGGUCUGCAACUGACGCUGAGGCUCGAAAGCAUGGGUAGCGAACAGGAUUAGAUACCCUGGUAGUCCAUGCCGUAAACGAUGAGUGCUAGGUGUUGGAGGGUUUCCGCCCUUCAGUGCCGGAGCUAACGCAUUAAGCACUCCGCCUGGGGAGUACGACCGCAAGGUUGAAACUCAAAGGAAUUGACGGGGGCCCGCACAAGCGGUGGAGCAUGUGGUUUAAUUCGAAGCUACGCGAAGAACCUUACCAGGUCUUGACAUCUUGCGCUAACCUAAGAGAUUAGGCGUUCCCUUCGGGGACGCAAUGACAGGUGGUGCAUGGUCGUCGUCAGCUCGUGUCGUGAGAUGUUGGGUUAAGUCCCGCAACGAGCGCAACCCUUGUUACUAGUUGCCAGCAUUCAGUUGGGCACUCUAGUGAGACUGCCGGUGACAAACCGGAGGAAGGUGGGGAUGACGUCAGAUCAUCAUGCCCCUUAUGACCUGGGCUACACACGUGCUACAAUGGUCGGUACAACG